UACGGGGGGUGCGAGCGUUGUCCGGAAUCACUGGGCGUAAAGGGCGCGUAGGUGGUUUGAUAAGGGUGUGGUGAAAGCCCGGAGCUCAACUCCGGGUCUGCCGUGCCGACUGUCAAACUCGAGGGCUGUAGAGGCAGACGGAAUUCCUGGUGUAGCGGUGAAAUGCGCAGAUAUCAGGAGGAACACCGAUGGCGAAGGCAGCUCGCUGGGACGUGACUGACGCUGAGACGCGAAAGCGUGGGGAGCAAACAGG
rnacentral:rRNA from 1 species